ACGACGUUCGUAGUUGGGCCCCGCGGAAAGGGAUCUGCUGUUGCCUUCUGCAUUGAGAGAGGUCCUCUCUCUCAAUCUCUCUGAGUUUGCUUGGUUUUCUUGCAGACGUUUCAUUAUCCAACCUAGGUAGCAUCAUGAGCGCUGAUGAUGUUACCUAGUUUGGGUAAUGAAACGCCUGCAAAAAAAAAAAUCAAGCUCAUGAGAGGAUCCCUCAUGUUAACCCUGAGCCAUAAAUAUUCUCCUUUAUUGGUGUUUUCUAAAUUGGUUAUUUUUUAACUUCUCACUCUAACCCUGGAAACAUCUCUGGUGACUUUCUAUCCAAAUCCUAGGAAAAGUUUAGAAAUAUUGAUGUUGACACAGCUGUUCUUCCUUAUUCAAAAAUGUUAUGAAGAUUCUGGAAUCAGAAUGCGCCUUGGACAAGUCUCUUCAAUUAUCUUCACAAGAUUUUUCAGCAAUAGUUUGCCAUUGCCUCCUUCCUAGGCUGAGAGUGAAUGACUGACGCAAGACCACCUACCAGCUUUGUGCUUAAGAUGGGACUAGAUCUUCUGGUUUCUAGUCUGAUGCCUCAACCACUGCACCAAACUUAUUAAAAUGUAAUUUUACAUAGUUUAAAUGCAAUAAGAAUUGUAUGUUAUUUCAAAAUAAGUAUGUAAAGGUUUGGAAUUAAAUUAAGAAAUAUGCACUCAGAUGGGAAAGGUAAAAUCAUCAUUGUUGGGGAGAUUUUCUGCAGUAUAGUGAAUGUACUAUCUAGAACGAUUCUUUGUUUUAAACAAUACCUGUUUUUACAAAUGAUGCACCUUUUAAACAAUAGCACAAGAUGUAUCUAGAUUUAUAUGGCAAGGAAAAAAACAAGGUUUAAAUAUAAAAUUCUCCAGGAUACAAACAAAAGAGGAGGAUUAAGAUUACCUGAUUUUAAAUUGUAGUUUGAAGCCUGUUGUUUAGUUUGAAUGAAAGAAUGGGUGAUUCUUGACCAAUAAGAGAAGUUUAGAACUAGAUAGGAAUGACCUGAGAUUUGAAUGGCAUGGUUUUUAUGAUAUGAUAAAGUUAAGGUAAAGGUAAAGGUUAAGAUUUCCCUUGUCCAUCUCUGGGGGGCAGUACUAAUUUCCGUUUCUUAGUCAAGGGAGCCAGCAUUGCCCAAAGACAUUUCCAUGAUCAUAGGGCCAACAUGGUAAAAGAACGCUGUUACCUUUCCAUCAAGGUGGUACCUAUUUAUCUACUUGCAUUUGCAUGGUUUCAACCUGCCAGGUGGGUGGGAGCUGGGGCAAGUAACGGGAGCUCACCCCAUCAUGCUGUGUCAGGGUCUCGAACCCAGGUUGAAGAUUUUAAAAAUCACUAUGUUAAGAAUAUGAAAUAGAUAUAAACCCAGGCUGUGCCAGAAAAUGCCUUUAUUUUUUACAGCACAAAGCAUUUUAUAAAAAAUAAACAACAAAGAAAAUAGUUAAUGUAUCAACCUUUGUUAGAGCAGGAACACAAAGAACUUAUGUUAAAAUCUAGAGAUCAAUUGACUGCAGCGGGAUUUAGUUUCUAAUAAUUUUACUAUGCACGAUUAAAAGAAAAAAAUUAAUGUAACUGAAAUUGAUGAUAACUGAAAAUGAACAACAUAAAAUGAAAUUUGAAAUGAAAUUAUACACAGAUAAUGAACAUGUAAUUGCUAAAAUGUAUAAACUUUUGCUGAGUCUUGAAAUGGAAGAACUGAUUAAAGAAUUCAUGAUAAAAUGGGCUAAGAAUUUUGGUUAUAAUAUAAUGUACACCAAUGGGAAAG